AGAGCGAGUGCGUCCCCACCAGCCUGGCCGCCGCGGGAACUCGGGGACCGGGAGGGCGGGGGUUAGCGGGAGGAAAGGGUAAGCUGAAGAGGGGCUGGGAACGGGAGGGAGGCUCGGGGCGAACGGGCCGUCGCGUUCAUUUCCAUAAGAAAGCUGAAAUCGCAGUUGGAAGCAGGAUUUCUCGCCCCUGCAGCCCUUCCCCCAUACCCGGUUUUCUGCAAGAAGCGGGCUCCAGAGCUCAGAGCCCGAAGUGUGUGCUCUGGUCUUUGAUGAUGUUGAUAAAAUGUGGUUUCAAAUGUUGUCCCGAAGAGGCCGGUUUCCUGUCUGUAUGUGGAAUGGAAGGACCGUGCCGGGGCACCAAGAGGCACCCUGAGAACUCAGAGGACCCAGAGGCUCCCCUCAAGCAAAUUCCCUGCUGACCCUGGACACCCCUUGAAGGAGGGGGCAAGAGGCUGCCACAAGGCUCAUCUUAUAACUCCCAGCAAGGACUCCCAGCAAACAAGUUCAGCUUGGGAUCUGCCCACCACCAAGCCUGGCUGGGAGGUGGGGGGGAGCGAGGGGCGGUGGAGAGGCAGAGUCCCUGAACAGGGAAAAGACAAUCAGUUGUUCCCCUUUCUGGUGUCAGAGGCAAAGAAGCCUGAAGGGCUGGUGGUGGUGCUGGCUCUGGGUUUAUUGACUCUGUGAUCCUGUCCAGCUGUCCUACAGGGAGUUCCAGAGCUCUCCCAAAGUGCAUGAGGAACUGCACAAGUAGGACUGGGGCACAAUACCAGAAGCUAUUUGUCUCCUAGAACCUGGCACCCCCUCCACUUACCUUACAGGAGACCCACAUCACUCAGUUCCCAGGACACCUGGUGGGAGAGUCUGGUGAGAUUUGGAGGCAGACUUCCUCUACUCACAACUUGUUUGAAAAUGGACAUAAAGAGAAGAACAGACACUCCAUCGCCCCUUCAGGGCCUCCUUUGUGUCACAAAACCUAUCCCCUCCUAGGGCACCCUUGACAUUCCCCUAGGUGGGCCUACACAUUGUUCAGAACCUGUCCCCUGUACCAAAAUAAAUAUAAAUGAGUUUGUUUCUUUAAAAGAAAUAUUACAGCUUUAAACUUUUCCCAGCCGGAAUCCACCUAAUUUCAUCAAGGUCUCUCGCUAGCAGCCAUAACCCAGGCCAAAAGGGCUUGUCCCUAGGGAGGCACCAAAGGGAGAAUACCCCAGGCCCAUUUCAUUCCACUGAGGUUUUUGAACCCCUAGGUGUCUAAGGUAAUACCACCACCAUCCCCACCUGUUUUCAGUUCUUUCUUUGUGGCUUAAGAUUGCAUUUUUGGAGGGUUUAUGUAAUGUUGUUCACGUCAGCAAGUCUCCCUGCCCCACCCUCACCCCACUGUCCUAUAUGGAAUUAUAGUUGGAAACCACACACACAUAGAAAAUCUUUGAAGAUUUUUUUCUGCUAUUCUUCCUGACUAGAAGAGUUGACAAGACAUAGACACAUUCAGUUGCAUAAAAUACAGUAGCGUGAUCAGCCUAAAUGCAUCUCAUUUGCACUGUUUGUAACCAGGGGUGGGGGCUUGUGUCACUCAUUGCCUCCCCCUCCUCUGCCCAAACCAGACCCGCCAGCUGGAAUUUCAGAGCAGGCCCCAAGGCAGCAGCCAUUUGGGAAGUGGAAGCCCUAGCCCACCCCAGUCCAGCAGGGGUGCGGGGUGGAUAGAGAAGGUGUCUGGAGGUCUGGCCUGAGGGCUUGGACCAACUUUGGCAGACCUGGGCUCUGGGAGGCUUGGCCGGUGGGUGACCACAGCUGGAAGUUGGAGGUCUGCAGCGAUGCUUCUGAGCUUCUCCUGAGUUGAGUUCAAGAAAGGGGACACCAAGAAGUAGGGGAACAGUCACUGACUAUAUUUUACAUCCACGCCUACCCCUUUCCCAGAGUUGUGUUCUCACCACCCACUUUGUCGGCGGAGGAGAAACACUGCUGCCUGAUGCUUGCACUGCUGCACUGUUCUUGCACCUGCUCCUAGCCCUGAACUCGGGCCCUGAGCUCCUCACUGCCGCCCGCUCUGCGCUGAGCCCCACUCCUGAGACCGCGAGGUGCCAGAGCAGCGCCUCUCCCACCAACUCCUAGACGCCUGUAGGAGCUGCGCCGGAGCCUUCAGAACCCCAUGGGGGUGUGGGGGUGAAGUUGGAGGUCAUCCGGGUGAUUUUUUUCUUACUUUUUCCUAAUUGUUCUCCUGCGUUGAUUUCAACUCUUCCAGUCUCCCGGUGCUGGGGCGCCAAUCCUUUCCCAACAAUUCCUACCCACCAGCUGGAGGUCGGGGCCCAGGGUUACCCCAGAGUUCUAUGGUGGCAGGGGGCGCCGAGUAGAGGGGCGGGAGGAGCUGGGUCCUCGGGAACCAAAGGGGACCUCAGCGGGGGCGGAGUGCGCAGCCUUGGCUGCUGGGAAAUGCCCAACUAGCCGCUGUGAGUGCCCACAGCGCGUCGUGGGGGCGUCCGUUCUGCAGCUCGGGUGACUCAGACGCCCUGCCAACCCCACCAGCUCCCGGCUUCUCGAACGCUCUUCUGAUCGCCCAGCGGGGAGACUUCAGGGCCUGCCUCGUCAGGCCAGAUUGCAGCCCGCGACCUUCCCGGAUUAACCAAG
rnacentral:lncRNA from 1 species